rnacentral:rRNA from 1 species
GUGUCAUCCGCCGCGGUAAUACGAAGGGGGCUAGCGUUGCUCGGAAUCACUGGGCGUAAAGGGUGCGUAGGCGGGCCUUUAAGUCAGGGGUGAAAUCCUGGAGCUCAACUCCAGAACUGCCUUUGAUACUGAAGAUCUUGAGUUCGGGAGAGGUGAGUGGAACCGCGAGUGUAGAGGUGAAAUUCGUAGAUAUUCGCAAGAACACCAGUGGCGAAGGCGGCUCACUGUCCCGAUACUGACGCUGAGGUGCGAAAGCGUGGGGAGCAAACAGGAUUAGAUACCCUUGUAGUCC